rnacentral:rRNA from 1 species
CACGUAGGGGGGCGAGCGUUGUUCGGAAUUACUGGGCGUAAAGGGCAUGUAGGCGGUCUGGUAAGCCUGGCGUGAAAGGCCACAGCUCAACUGUGGGAUUGCGUUGGGAACUGCUGGGCUUGAGUUACGGAGAGGGAGCUAGAAUUCCUGGUGUAGGGGUGAAAUCUGUAGAUAUCAGGAAGAAUACCGAUGGCGAAGGCAAGCUCCGGGCCGAUAACUGACGCUGAGGUGCGAAAGUGUGGGGAUCAAACAGG